AAUGCGGGACUCUAAGAGGCCCCGUAAUUGGAAUGAGUACACCUUAAAUCGUUUAACGAGUAUCAAUUGGAGGGCAAGUCUGGUGCCAGCAGCCGCGGUAAUUCCAGCUCCAAUAGCGUAUAUUAAAGUUGCUGCAGUUAAAAAGCUCGUAGUUGGAUCUGGGGCUUGAGGUCGCUGUCUAUCGUUUCGGCGAUGACGGUGAUGCUCAGCUCUGCUUGCCGGUGACUGUUGCGGUGUUCUUCACUGAGCGCUGUAGCAGCACGGCACGUUUACUUUGAAAAAAUUAGAGUGCUCAAAGCGUGCUUGUCGCUUGAAUAAUGUUGCAUGGAAUAAUGGAAUAGGACCUCGGUUCUAUUUUGUUGGUUUUCGGAGCUUGAGGUAAUGAUUAAGAGGGACGAACGGGGGCAUUCGUAUUGCGGUGUUAGAGGUGAAAUUCUUGGAUCGCCGCAAGACGGACUACUGCGAAAGCAUUUGCCAAGAACGCUUUCAUUAAUUAAGAACGAUAGUCAGAGGUUCGAAGACGAUCAGACACCGUCCUAGUUCUGACCAUAAACGAUGCCGACCAGCGAUCCGUAGUGGUUGCUUUAUGGACCCUACGGGCAGCCUCCGGGAAACCAAAGUAUUUGGGUUCCGGGGGAAGUAUGGUUGCAAAGCUGAAACUUAAAGGAAUUGACGGAAGGGCACACCAGGAGUGGAGCCUGCGGCUUAAUUUGACCCAACACGGGAAAACUCACCCGGUCCGGACACCGUAAGGAUUGACAGACUGAUAGCUCUUUCUUGAUUCGGUGGAUGGUGGUGCAUGGCCGUUCUUAGUUGGUGGAGUGAUUUGUCUGGUUAAUUCCGAUAACGAACGAGACUCUAGCCUGCUAAGUAGUGUUGCUAUUGUUAUAUGGUUGACACUUCUUAGAGGGACAAGUGGCAUUUAGCCACGCGAAAUUGAGCAAUAACAGGUCUGUGAUGCCCUUAGAUGUCCGGGGCCGCACGCGCGCUACACUGGAGAAGUCAGCGUGUGUUAUCCAAGUCCGAAAGGACUGGGUAAUCCGUUGAACCUUCUUCGUGCUUGGGACUGUGGCUUGGAACUAUUCCACAUGAACGAGGAAUUCCUAGUAAUUGCAAGUCAUAAGCUUGCGUUGAUUACGUCCCUGCCCUUUGUACACACCGCCCGUCGCUACUACCGAUUGAAUGGUUUAGCAAGGUCCUCGGAUCGUGGCCGUAGGGGCACGCAAGUGUUUCUGCGGUUUGCGAGAAGACGACCAAACUUGAUCAUUUAGA
rnacentral:rRNA from 1 species